UGGGGAAUAUUGCACAAUGGGCGCAAGCCUGAUGCAGCGACGCCGCGUGGGGGAUGAAGGCCUUCGGGUUGUAAACUCCUUUCAACCAUGACGAAGCGUGAGUGACGGUAGUGGUAGAAGAAGCACCGGCUAACUACGUGCCAGCAGCCGCGGUAAUACGUAGGGUGCGAGCGUUGUCCGGAAUUACUGGGCGUAAAGAGCUCGUAGGUGGUUUGUCGCGUCGUCUGUGAAAUUCCGGGGCUUAACUCCGGGCGUGCAGGCGAUACGGGCAUAACUUGAGUGCUGUAGGGGAGACUGGAAUUCCUGGUGUAGCGGUGAAAUGCGCAGAUAUCAGGAGGAACACCGAUGGCGAAGGCAGGUCUCUGGGCAGUAACUGACGCUGAGGAGCGAAAGCAUGGGUAGCGAACAGGAUUAGAUACCCUGGUAGUCCAUGCCGUAAACGGUGGGCGCUAGGUGUGGGGGUCUUCCACGACUUCUGUGCCGUAGCUAACGCAUUAAGCGCCCCGCCUGGGGAGUACGGCCGCAAGGCUA
rnacentral:rRNA from 1 species